CACUGAGCUCACAGCCAUGGCGCCAGCUCCUCUUAAUUUGAAUUCUACCUCAGUAAUGGCCUGUGCCAGCGUCAAAGAGACCUUAAUCGAUAGACCUCAACUCCAGGAGAAGACCCGAAACGCCCGCGUUUUGGUUUUGGGAGGCACUGGCCGCGUUGGAGGUUCCACUGCCGUUGCUCUCUCCAAGCUCUCGCCUCAACUCCAGAUCGUUUUUAGCUGUCGAAACAGGGAAAAAGGUGCUGCAAUGGUGGAUAAAUUGGGGAAGAAUUCUGAGCUUGCUGAAGUUAACAUUGAUAAUGUGGAUUCAUUGGAAACUGCUUUAAGAGAUGUGGAUCUGUUAGUCCAUGCUGCAGGGCCUUUUCAACAGUCAGAGAAUUGCAAUGUACUGGAAGCUGCUAUAGAGACCAAGAAGGCAUAUUUGGACGUUUGUGAUGAUACCAGCUAUGCAUUGCUUGCAAAAUCCUUGAAGGAUAGAGCAAUAUCUGCAAAUGUUCCAGCAAUAACUACUGGCGGAAUCUAUCCCGGAGUGAGCAAUGCGAUGGCUGCAGAGCUAGUUCGUGCUGCGAGAGAUGAAAGCAAGGGAGAGCCAGAGAGGCUAAGGAAUUUACCAGAGGUGCGAAGUGCUCAUGAAAUCCUAGGAGUACCAACUGUCAGUGCUCAAUUGGGAACCGCACCAUUCUUCUGGAAUUUGGGAAUGGUUGCCAUGACAAAGCUUCUUUCUCCUGUAUGCAGUUACUUUACCCAGAGCUUGAAUUGGCAGAUUAUUAGAUUUUUCAAGUGGCUUGUUAUUGAGUUAUAUGUUAUUAUAAUGCCCAUAUAUUAUGGAAGCUACUGGGGAAGCAUAACUAGUGGUCAUAUCAUAUGUAAUGUUCCGAGCAUCAUUUAAUGAUUUGGUAAUUGAUUAAUUCCUAAAAAAAUUUAAAUUACAACUGACACAUGCACAUUUAAUAGAAAAAAAUCUUCUGGAACUUAUUCCAUGUAACUGUUCCUAUCAGGAACUUGGUAGCAAAAUCUAAGAAACAAAUGCUGCAUCGAUUAUUGAUUUGAUCAAGCAUCUGUUUAAAUGAGUAGCUGUUUGUUUAGCUCCUCUGGAUAAGAACUUUAGUUUUGGUUCAAUAUUUCGGGAGUAUCUGAGAGACCGAAACAAAGUCCAACAGUUGGUUCAGUUGUUUGACCUGUAGUCCGAGUAUUCGAUGGGAUCGCUGGAGAACAUGUAUCCAUGAGGAUUGACUUGGAAUGCUCAGGUGGACGCAAUACAGUUGGUAUAUUUAGUCACAGGAGGCUUUCUUUCUGGAUCCGUGGGAACUGCUACAGCUGCUUUUGCCCUUGCGCUUCUUGAGGGAGUCACACAGCCAGGGGUUUGGUUUCCAGAAGAGCCUGAAGGUAUUGCAAUCGAGGCAAGGGAAGUUCUGCUUGAGCGUGCUGCGCAAGGAACAAUAAACUUCGUAAUGAACAAUAGGCCACCAUGGAUGGUGGAAACAGAACUGAAAGGGCUCAGAUUAGGAAUAUACGUAUAAUAAUGCGGAAAAACAAACUCAAAUUAUAGAUCAAUAUUCUUCUUCAGCAUCUUCACCAUACUGUGAAGGUAUUGGAAAUUAUUGAUUGUCGAAAGCAAUACAUAUGUUGCGGGAAGAUCAGUCUCACAGAUAAUUAGUUUAGAAGAAAAAGCAAGUGAAAUAUUGUAACUAUUGACCAACUACCUUCUUGGAGUAAUCUACAUUUUUCUUAUAAUGCUUUGAGCAAAGAUGUUUCAAAAAUCAUAAAUUAUCAUCUCGAGUUUACAUCAA